UACGAAGGGGGCUAGCGUUACUCGGAAUUACUGGGCGUAAAGGGCGCGUAGGCGGCAUGAUAAGUCAGGCGUGAAAUUCCCGGGCUCAACCUGGGGACUGCGCUUGAGACUGUUGAGCUAGAGGAUGGAAGAGGGUCGUGGAAUUCCCAGUGUAGAGGUGAAAUUCGUAGAUAUUGGGAAGAACACCGGUGGCGAAGGCGGCGACCUGGUCCAUUACUGACGCUGAGGCGCGACAGCGUGGGGAGCAAACAGG
rnacentral:rRNA from 1 species